rnacentral:rRNA from 1 species
CCUACGGGUGGCAGCAGUCGAGAAUCAUACACAAUGGGGGAAACCCUGAUGGUGCGACGCCGCGUGGGGGAAUGAAGGUCUUCGGAUUGUAAACCCCUGUCAUGUGGGAGCAAAUUAAAAAGAUAGUACCACAAGAGGAAGAGACGGCUAACUCUGUGCCAGCAGCCGCGGUAAUACAGAGGUCUCAAGCGUUGUUCGGAAUCACUGGGCGUAAAGCGUGCGUAGGCUGUUUCGUAAGUCGGGUGUGAAAGGCGGGGGCUCAACCCGCGGACGGCACAUGAUACUGCGAGACUAGAGUAAUGGAGGGGGAAGCGGAAUUCGCGGUGUAGCAGUGAAAUGCGUAGAUAGCGAGAGGAACACUCGUGGCGAAGGCGGGUUCCUGGACAUUAACUGACGCUGAGGCACGAAGGCCAGGGGAGCGAAAGGGAUUAGAUACCCCUGUAGUC